AUUCCUGUGGGGGAAACCCACCCGCAUCCCCCAGGGUUCCUUGGGGUGACAGGUUUGCUGUCAGCCAGAGGAGGGUCUCACCGCUUCUUCCUGGUCUUCAAGGAAGGAGAGGGCUCUCUCUCUCGGCCUUCUGCUCAUAGCUCCACGCCUGGCAGGAAGUCCCUUCUGUUGUCUGUCAGACCUUCUACUCCAGAGAUGGUGACAGAUAUUGAAAAUCAGAUCGAUAAGCAGCUUCAAGACAGACUGAAUCAGGAGGAGGUGGCUACAGCUCCUCUGGCCAAGGAGCUGGAAUCAGGCCAAACCUCACAUCAGUAACCCGGCAGGACGAAAGCGUCUGGCCCUUUAAGGCCACCUUCUUCCCCCCACGUGCCGUCUGGUUGGGCUGGCGACGCUGACGCACGCGUGACGUCAAUGGCAGCUGGCGGAGUCUGGGCACGAGGAGCGAAGUUGGGAUGGGGGUUGGUGGGGCGAAAACCAGAGGGCGGUUUAUUUGCAUUUAAAGGGGCCACUCCAGGGUUAGCGCUCAAGGCUUUAAAGAUUUGUGUAUUUGGAAAACUUUCCGUCUUGCGCUAGGGGACAAGAAAAACGCGUGGUACAGCCAAAGUCUGUCGUGA